rnacentral:rRNA from 1 species
AGGCCUAACACAUGCAAGUCGAAGGAUAAAUCAGACUUCGGUCUGAUGGAAACUGGCGCACGGGUGAGUAACGCGUGGGAACAUGCCCAAGGGUACGGAACAACACGGGGAAACCUGUGCUAAUACCGGAUAAGUCCUAACGGAGAAAGUUUUAAUGCCAAAAGAUGAGCCCGCAUUUGAUUAGCUAGUUGGUAAGGUAAAAGCUUACCAAGGCGACAAUCAAUAGCUGAUUUGAGAGGAUGAUCAGCCACACUGGGACUGAGAUACGGCCCAGACUCC